rnacentral:rRNA from 1 species
GAUGAACGCUAGCGAUAGGCUUAACACAUGCAAGUCGAGGGGCAGCAUGGUCUUAGCUUGCUAAGACUGAUGGCGACCGGCGCACGGGUGCGUAACGCGUAUGCAACUUGCCUCACAGAGGGGGAUAACCCGUCGAAAGACGGACUAAUACCGCGUACACUUGGGAUAGGGCAUCCUGACCCAAGGAAAUGAAAUUCGCUGUUAGAUAGGCAUGCGUCCCAUUGGCUAGUUGGUGAGGUAACGGCUCACCAAGGCGACGAUGGGUAGGGGAACUGAGAGGUUGAACCCCCACACUGGUACUGAGACACGGACCAGACUCCUACGGGAGGCAGCAGUGAGGAAUAUUGGUCAAUGGGCGAGAGCCUGAACCAGCCAAGUCGCGUGAAGGAUGACUGUCUUAUGGAUUGUAAACUUCUUUUAUACGGGAAUAACAAGAGCCACGUGUGGCUCCCUGCAUGUACCGUAUGAAUAAGCAUCGGCUAACUCCGUG